UACGUAGGGGGCAAGCGUUGUCCGGAAUCAUUGGGCGUAAAGAGCGUGUAGGCGGCCAGAAAAGUCCGCUGUGAAAACUCGAGGCUCAACUUCGAGCUGUCGGUGGAAACUUUCUGGCUAGAGUCCGGAAGAGGAGAAUGGAAUUCCUGGUGUAGCGGUGAAAUGCGCAGAUAUCAGGAAGAACACCCGUGGCGAAGGCGGUUCUCUGGGACGGUACUGACGCUGGAGACGCGAAAGCGUGGGGGAGCGAACAGG
rnacentral:rRNA from 1 species